UUUUCAUUGUCUACGUGUGAGCGUUUUGCUCUCAUGGAUGUCUGUGCAUGGCAUGCAUGCCUGGUGCACCCAGAAGCCAGAAGAAGGCAUUGGAUCCCCUGGAACUGGAGUUGCAGAUGCCUGUGAGACAGCAGGGGGGUGUUGGGAACUGAACCCCUGCUCUCAGGUACAACAGCCAGUGCUCUUAACUGCUGACUCGUCCCGUCGCUCCAGCCCCCGCGAGAAUCCUUACGUCUGGGUCAGCCACCUCUAGAUCACCCCACCAGCACACUCUGCUUCUGGUGACCUCUAACAAGAAAUGGAUCCAUUCGCUGGGCUGACUUCUCAGAAGGGAGACCAAACUCCCAAUGAAGUUCUGGAAAAUUUCUAUCACACAAGUCUGCAGGAAUCAGCCCGCGUAUCAGUGACAGCCUGACAGCCUGGAAAGUCACCAGAGCCACCGCAAUAGCCCAGCCUGCAGAGCAGAUGGAGCCUGAAGCGCUCACCCUAGAACCAUCGUCCAAAGCAACUGCG
rnacentral:lncRNA from 1 species